UACGUAGGGGGCAAGCGUUGUCCGGAAUCAUUGGGCGUAAAGAGCGUGUAGGCGGCUCGGUAAGUCCGCUGUGAAAGUCCAGGGCUCAACCCUGGAAUGCCGGUGGAAACUGUCGAGCUAGAGUCCGGAAGAGGCGAGUGGAAUUCCUGGUGUAGCGGUGAAAUGCGCAGAUAUCAGGAGGAACACCGAUGGCGAAGGCAGCUCGCUGGGACGUGACUGACGCUGAGACGCGAAAGCGUGGGGAGCAAACAGG
rnacentral:rRNA from 1 species